rnacentral:lncRNA from 10 species
CAGAUUGGCUCCCUAUGGACAGCAAGAACAGAGGCAGAUGCUGCAGCCAUCACUCCAGAUGAAGAAACUGAGGAACAAUGAGGGCAAGUCUCUUGAUAGACCUCCUUGGUCCCAACUGCUGAAACUUUGGAGUCUCGGAUGACUCAAUACCAUGCUCUGUUCAUUUGGUGAGGAACGUGGCUUCCCGCCUUGUCACCUACACUCCUCCCCAAGCUCUCCUUCCUCAGUGGGUCCAGCAUUUGCGUUGUACACUGAACCUCUGUUGUCAGUGCCAAGAAUGGGAGUUGUUUCCCACCCAGGUUUGCAUGGGCUUGAGAAAGGAAUCAGCACUUUAGAGUCACCCAGGGCUCAGCAUCUUCUAAAAGAUCUUUCUUGCUUCUCCAGGACAUUGCCACCAAGGGGUUUCAAUGAAUGGCACCCACCUGGACAAGGGGGCCUGACUCUUUCCUCUAUGUUCAGGACCAUGGAUAAUCUCAUCCCCACACUGCGGAGGUAGCCUGCCUCCACUCAUUCAUCAUCUCUCUUUUGCCUGGGAAUCGUUCAUAAUUCUGGCAGUAACUGCUGCCCCCAGAAAUAAGGCAGAACAAGUCCUUUCUUGCUGCAACCCCUUCUUACUUAGGGGACAUUUAGAAUGACCAAAGGAGAUUCCACAAAUAUGUACUGAGCACCUCCUGCGUACCAAGCACAAAGCAUUGUGGGGUGCAUACAAGGGAGUCACCAUCCUAGUGGUGCUUACAUUCUGGCAGGGACAACACGAGAUAAGCAAUAAAUAAAUGUAAAUACAUGACAAUGUCAGGAAAUUCUUGAAGAAGAAGAAUAAAGAAGCAUAAGGAAAUGGAAAGUGAUGGGGAUGCUCUUUUUUAAAUUCUUUUUAAAAAAUUCCAUCUUUAUUGGGGUAUAAUUGAA